ensembl:lncRNA
CAAAGGAUAAUGGGAAAUGCAGGGAAGGAGACUGGUGAUUCCUGAGUUGCAGCAGGACCUGUGAUCCUCCUGGGGAGACCUGCUCUGGAAUCACCCCUGGGCUUCGCAGGGAUCUUAGUCCCCCAGACCAGUGGCCAGGCUGUGCCUGGUGCAGCAGGGAGGCCCAGGCAGCCUGGGAUUCUCCAUGAGGAAUGUGGUGCUGGGGCCCAUGUGCGGGUGUGGGGCUUCCCUUACGCAGCCCUUACGUCACCUCACGUCAUCCUCUCACCUCACCAAGAGUUGCUGCUUUGAUCUCCGGAGACUGAUGAACAAACCAGGGCUCACAGAAGCACCAUCAGUGGCCAAGAGGGACGGGAGACUGGUGGGGCUCAGAGCCAGGAGGAGGGCAAGAAGAAAAGAAAACAAUUUGGUCUCUUCUGGGGAGAAGUUACACAGAGUGUCCUGAAAACAGAGACCUUUUAUCUAGUCAAGAUAGGAUUUGAGAGUGGAAAUAUGAAGGUGUUGUAGGAGGGAAAGUGUGUCUUGGUGACAAGUUUCUGAAGAAGAGCUGCAGAGGAGGAGAUUGUCUACAUACUGUAUGAGAUGAGAGGAAGAUGGGUGAAAGAAGAGUAAAUCAUCCCCAAGGACCUAACCAGAACAGUGGGGACUGUCCCAAAAGCCCUGAGAGCUCUAUGUGUCAGAAGCAAGUGGCCAAGUCAAUCCCCAUUUCAAGGAGGAAAGAAUGAAGCCUCUUCCCAGAGGGCAGAGCAUCAAAGAAUUGACACCCAGAUGUUAGAACCACCACAGCAACGACCGCACAUUUGUGGGAGAUGCCUUGAUGUUACACAGAUAUCCCGUUUCAU